AGAGUGUAGCUCAGUUGUAGAGCACUUGCUUAGCAUGCAUGAGGUCCUGGGUUCAAUCCCCAGUACCUCUA
rnacentral:tRNA from 1 species